rnacentral:rRNA from 1 species
UACGUAGGGACCAAGCGUUGUUCGGAUUUACUGGGCGUAAAGGGCGCGUAGGCGGCGCGGUAAGUCACUUGUGAAAUCUCUGAGCUUAACUCAGAACGGCCAAGUGAUACUGCAGUUCUAGAGUGUGGAAGGGGCAAUCGGAAUUCUUGGUGUAGCGGUGAAAUGCGUAGAUAUCAAGAGGAACACCUGAGGUGAAGACGGGUUGCUGGGCCAACACUGACGCUGAGGCGCGAAAGCCAGGGGAGCAAACGGG